GAUGAACGCUGGCGGCGUGCCUAAUACAUGCAAGUAGAACGCUGAAGCUUGGUGCUUGCACUGAGCGGAUGAGUUGCGAACGGGUGAGUAACGCGUAGGUAACCUGCCUCUUAGCGGGGGAUAACUAUUGGAAACGAUAGCUAAUACCGCAUAAAAGUCGAUAUCGCAUGAUAUUGAUUUGAAAGGUGCAAAUGCAUCACUAAGAGAUGGACCUGCGUUGUAUUAGCUAGUUGGUGAGGUAACGGCUCACCAAGGCGACGAUACAUAGCCGACCUGAGAGGGUGAUCGGCCACACUGGGACUGAGACACGGCCCAGACUCCUACGGGAGGCAGCAGUAGGGAAUCUUCGGCAAUGGGGGCAACCCUGACCGAGCAACGCCGCGUGAGUGAAGAAGGUUUUCGGAUCGUAAAGCUCUGUUGUAAGAGAAGAACGAGUGUGAGAGUGGAAAGUUCACACUGUGACGGUAACUUACCAGAAAGGGACGGCUAACUACGUG
rnacentral:rRNA from 1 species